rnacentral:rRNA from 1 species
CCUACGGGGGGCAGCAGUGGGGAAUAUUGGACAAUGGGGGGAACCCUGAUCCAGCCAUGCCGCGUGUGUGAAGAAGGCCCUCGGGUUGUAAAGCACUUUCAGUGAGGAAGAACGCCUGGUGGUUAAUACCCAUCAGGAAAGACAUCACUCACAGAAGAAGCACCGGCUAACUCCGUGCCAGCAGCCGCGGUAAUACGGAGGGUGCGAGCGUUAAUCGGAAUUACUGGGCGUAAAGCGCGCGUAGGUGGCUUGAUAAGCCGGUUGUGAAAGCCCCGGGCUCAACCUGGGAACGGCAUCCGGAACUGUCAAGCUAGAGUGCAGGAGAGGAGGGUAGAAUUCCCGGUGUAGCGGUGAAAUGCGUAGAGAUCGGGAGGAAUACCAGUGGCGAAGGCGGCCUUCUGGACUGACACUGACACUGAGGUGCGAAAGCGUGGGUAGCAAACAGGAUUAGAUACCCCUGUAGUC